rnacentral:rRNA from 1 species
CACGUAGGGGGCAAGCGUUGUCCGGAAUUAUUGGGCGUAAAGGGCUCGUAGGCGGUUUGUCGCGUCGGGAGUGAAAACCUACAGCUUAACUGUGGGCUUGCUUUCGAUACGGGCAGACUUGAGGCAUGCAGGGGAGAACGGAAUUCCUGGUGUAGCGGUGAAAUGCGCAGAUAUCAGGAGGAACACCGGCGGCGAAGGCGGCCUUCUGGACAGUGACUGACGCUGAGACGCGAAAGCGUGGGGAGCAAACAGG